rnacentral:rRNA from 1 species
AACAUGACUCUCGGCAAUGGAUAUCUCGGCUCUCGCAUCGAUGAAGAGCGCAGCGAAAUGCGAUAUGUGGUGCGAAUUGCAGAAUCCCGCGAACCAUCGAGUCU